UACGUAGGGGGCAAGCGUUGUCCGGAAUCAUUGGGCGUAAAGAGCGUGUAGGCGGCCUGAUAAGUCGGCUGUGAAAGUCAAGGGCUCAACCCUUGAAUGCCGGCCGAUACUGUCAGGCUAGAGUCCGGAAGAGGCGAGUGGAAUUCCUGGUGUAGCGGUGAAAUGCGCAGAGUAUCGGGAGGAACACCUGCGGUGUAGACGGCUUACUGGACCAUAACUGACGCUGAGGCACGAAAGCGUGGGUAGCAAACAGG
rnacentral:rRNA from 1 species